GCCAGACUCCUACGGGAGGCAGCAGUGGGGAAUAUUGCACAAUGGGGGAAACCCUGAUGCAGCGACGCCGCGUGAAGGAAGAAGUAUCUCGGUAUGUAAACUUCUAUCAGCAGGGAAGAAAACAGACGGUACCUGACUAAGAAGCCCCGGCUAACUACGUGCCGGCAGCCGCGGUAAUACGUAGGGGGCAAGCGUUAUCCGGAUUUACUGGGUGUAAAGGGGGCGCAGACGGCCAUGGCAAGCCCGGUGUGAAAGGCAGGGGCAUAACCCCUGGACUGCACUGGGAACUGUCAGGCUGGAGUGCCGGAGGGGUAAGCGGAAUUCCUGGUGUAGCGGUGAAAUGCGUAGAUAUACGGAGGAACACCAGUGGCGAAGGCGGAUUGCUGGACAGUAACUGACGCUGAGGCGCGAAAGCGUGGGGAGCAAACAGGAUUAGAUACCCUUAUAUCG
rnacentral:rRNA from 1 species